CCUACGGGUGGCAGCAGUGAGGAAUAUUGGUCAAUGGACGCGAGUCUGAACCAGUCAAGCCGCGUGCAGGAAGACGGCUCUAUGGGUUGUAAACUUCUUUUGUACGGGAAUAAACCCAGGUACGCGUAUCUGUCUGAAAGUACCUUACGAAUAAGGAUCGGCUAACUCCGUGCCAGCAGCCGCGGUAAUACGGAGGAUUCGAGCGUUAUCCGGAUUUAUUGGGUUUAAAGGGUGCGUAGGCGGUCGGUUAAGUUAGAGGUGAAAGCCCGAGGCUCAACUGCGGAAUUGCCUUUGAUACUGUCAGUCUAGAGAGUAGUUGAGGUAGGCGGAAUGCGUGGUGUAGCGGUGAAAUGCUUAGAGAUCACGCAGAACACCGAUUGCGAAGGCAGCUUACCAAGCUAAUACUGACGUUGAGGCACGAAAGCGUGGGUAUCAAACAGGAUUAGAUACCCGUGUAGUC
rnacentral:rRNA from 1 species